AUCUAUCUCAUCACACUCCCCUGCAUAUCCCUUCACUCAAUCUUCUCUCGAAUCAAAUUCAAAUUACUAAGUGACUUUCAAGGACUUUAACAAUGAAGCCCCUUCCUAUAUCUCAGCUUGUGAUCUGAAAAUACAAUCCUUCACACAACCUACAUUCUACUUCUUCUCCUUUUAUAACUUCAUCCCAUUCCUGACUGCAAGACUUUGCUUGGGCUUCUGCCUGAAUCUGGAACUCUCUGCCUCAAGCAAUCAGACUCUCCCCUUCCUUCUAAACUUUCAAACGCUCCCUAAAGAACCACCUGUUUAGAGAAACAUAUUCUAUGCAUCUUGAUUGAUCAACUUAUUAUAAAUCACCAGUUGUUUCAUAUUCUUUAUAUUUCAAAUUUACCCUAACCCUUAAGGUUGUAAGAUAUUGCGAGUAGGGCCCUCUGAUCGUAUUUUAAAAACUGUAACCCUUGUUUGUUAAACUAUUGUAAGUCCCCUGUUAGUUAUAAAUUAAUAUAAAGCAUUGCAUAACUUGCUGGCACUAUAUAAAUUUAGUGAUGAUGUAUUAGGUUUGUUCCCUAACAAAACUGCACUGGCUGGAGGAAAAACUGCAUUGCCCCUUUGUUGUGCCCAUGCACAAUAGAGGGAAAUGUGCAGUUUUGCUUUACUGCACCUGCAUGAGUGGCAAUCAGUACUAGGGAUGCUGGGAAAAUGUAAUCAAAGUUCUGGUGCAGCAUUUAGCAAUAUGUAACAUUUGGCACCCCUCCAAUAAAAUAGGGCUUACAUAUCCUCUAACCACAAAAAGAGAGCUUAUGAACACAUGUAAGUGUAAACAAAAAGUGGUACAGGUCCACCAUAUCCUCAGGGAUGCAAAAAUCCAUAGAAAGAAAAAAAAAAAAUAUAUAUAUUUUUUGUCUUUCUACCAAUUCACAUGUCCUUUAAGCCCAUAACAGAGUGGUCAACAAAGCUGCACAUACAAAUCACACAUUCCAAUACAGAUGUAUUGCAAUAUGUCGUCUGUGUAUGUGGUUUUGCUGAUGUCUGUGUGUCCCUUUUGGUGUCCUUCUCGGACUUUGUUUGCCCAUCUCUUUUGUAUGUGAGUGUAUUCCUAUUUGCCUUUGCCUAAUGGUGUUUGGCUGUAAGGGUCACAGCACAUGGUAAGAUUUGUCGCCUGUGAUAGUACUACGCUACAAUGGGUGAUAAAUCUCUCAGAAAAUGCUUUCCUCUGGCAAUAAUGUAAAUCACCCGAGGGAAAACAUGCACAUUUUCAUUUUUCUGAAGUUGCCCAACUUAGGGUGAUUUUAGACAAACAAAGUGACAUUUCUCCAGAAUAGGCAAACUUAACCUUUAUUUCAUCCCCAAAUUUUUUUUUAAAAUUGAGCCAUGUUCCAAAGAACAGGAAUGGACUACUUUUGUGUUCUAGUGUGAUGAAUAAAUUUACAAUUUCUAAACAUCUUUGUGAGUGAGAAAUAAAGCAAAGCACCUAUAUAACAAGGAA